rnacentral:rRNA from 1 species
AAAGCGUGCGCAGGCGGCUUUGCAAGACAGAGGUGAAAUCCCCGGGCUCAACCUGGGAACUGCCUUUGUGACUGCAAGGCUAGAGUACGGCAGAGGGAGAUGGAAUUCCGCGUGUAGCAGUGAAAUGCGUAGAUAUGCGGAGGAACACCGAUGGCGAAGGCAAUCUCCUGGGCCUGUACUGACGCUCAUGCACGAAAGCGUGGGGAGCAAACAGGAUUAGAUACCCGUGU